CCUAUGCACAAUGCAUUCUACACAAGUCCCCAGUGCACCAACAGCCCAAUUUUGGCUAUAUUCUCUGAGAGAUUUAAGGAAGUCAGCAACCACUCAUCUCACGUGAUCUUAAAAAGGGGCGCAGCUGAGCCCGGAAUAAACCACACUUUUUUUUCUGCAUCAACUUCACUGCCCAGUAUGAAGGAAGUGGGCAGGGAGGUGGCGCAGGUCCAGUGUGCAGAGGAGGCUAGCAAACAAGCGUGGGUUGCUGUGCCUUCUACUUCGGGGGAGCUAGGUGAGAAGGCACACUCGCUCAAGCGCACUGCAGGGGCUGAAAAAUCGAAGACUGCCACACCCCCCAGGAGCCAGGGGCAUAGCUUCAUCUCCUCUUGCUCCACCAAAAAGGGGGCCCUUUCUACGGAAUGCCUCACCCGCCGGGCACUGCCCGGAUCCCCCGCACCCCGACGUGCAACGCCCUUGAGUCCGGCGCGGGUGGGACACGGCGCUGGGGGGCGGCAGAGGGGGGACGGCCGCGGCGACAGGGGACACGCGCAUGCGCAGAUAUGGGUACCCGCCCGUUCACCUACCGUUGGAACCGCGACGCCCCGUUCCCUGGCCGCGGCCGCUUCUCCAGGACCCGCGGCGGCGGCAAGAGGGCGAGAACUGAGGCCCCGAGAGGCUCCGCGGCCGGCGAGCUUCUUCCUGCGGCGGCCGCUGGAGGGAGGCUGAAGCGACGGCUGUAGCGCGGGGCCAGCCCGCCACCAAUGCUUCCCUAAGACUCCUGGAAUCUCAACAUACUGGAACAUCAGAGGUGGAAGGAGCCUUCAGGAUUAUCUGGUCCUAGCUCCUUCCUAGCUUGAUGAACCCCUUUCCAGAGGUACGUGCAUUUAUUCAUUGUAUUCCACUUACCACUUUCUGCCUAUAUAGCUAGAUAUACACUUUGUCUCCUGUUUACCAGAUGAUAAGCUCCUUGAGGGCAGGUAGCAAGAACUAUGGCUUAGCAAGGGUUAAAGCCUUGCACAGGGCCAGCCCGUGGCUGAGUGGUUAAGUUCGUGCACUCUGCUUCCACGGCCCAGGGUUUUGCCGGUUGGGAUCCUGAGUGUGCACAUGGCACUGCUCAUCAGGCCAUGCUGAGGCGGCAUCCCACAUAGCACAACCAGAGGGACCUACAACUAGAAUACACAACUAUGCACUGGGGGGCUUUGGGGAGAAGAAGAAGGAGAAGAAGACAAAAAAAAAAAAGUUUUGCACAUAACCAGAACAAACAAAUAUUUGGUGUUAAACUCCACAGAGA
rnacentral:lncRNA from 1 species